rnacentral:rRNA from 1 species
CGGCCGCGGGAUUCGAUUAGAGUUUGAUCCUGGCUCAGAACGAACGCUGGCGGCAGGCCUAACACAUGCAAGUCGAGCGAGGUAGCAAUACCUAGCGGCGGACGGGUGAGUAACGCGUGGGAACAUACCCUUUGGUACGGAAUAGCCCUGGGAAACUGGGAGUAAUACCGUAUGUGCCCUUCGGGGGAAAGAUUUAUCGCCAAAGGAUUGGCCCGCGUUGGAUUAGGUAGUUGGUGGGGUAAAGGCCUACCAAGCCUACGAUCCAUAGCUGGUUUGAGAGGAUGAUCAGCCACACUGGGACUGAGACACGGCCCAGACUCCUACGGGAGGCAGCAGUGGGGAAUCUUAGACAAUGGGCGCAAGCCUGAUCUAGCCAUGCCGCGUGAGCGAUGAAGGCCUUAGGGUUGUAAAGCUCUUUCAGUGGGGAAGAUAAUGACGGUACCCACAGAAGAAGCCCCGGCUAACUCCGUGCCAGCAGCCGCGGUAAUACGGAGGGGGCUAGCGUUGUUCGGAAUUACUGGGCGUAAAGCGCACGUAGGCGGAUUGGAAAGUCAGAGGUGAAAUCCCAGGGCUCAACCUUGGAACUGCCUUUGAAACUCCCAGUCUUGAGGUCGAGAGAGGUGAGUGGAAUUCCGAGUGUAGAGGUGAAAUUCGUNNNUAUUCGGAGGAACACCAGUGGCGAAGGCGGCUCACUGGCUCGAUACUGACGC